GUCUAUACUAUUGUAUGAGAUGUUGAUGAAUGCUUGCAAACAGAAGAUAAAUCCAAAAGGUUAAUAAUGUUUAAUCUUACUAAACAAAAUAGAAUAAUCAUCAUGGACAAAAGAAUAAUACAAGCCGUCCAAAGUUUUUUUAAUGACGAUAAUACUAUAAAUAAAAUCAACACAAAAUUGUUAACAAUUUAAUUUUUUUCCCUUACACAUCAUUAUCAUGAAAAAUAAAAUAGAACUAUUUUUUCUGCACAAAACAAAACGGAAAGAAGAAAAAGGAAAAAACGAAGCGUCUUUUUCUGAAGACAGGGUUGAAGUGCAAGUUGAUUCACACUCUGACUGUGGGUAAAGCAAGAAUCAGUGCGUGAUAACCCACAAAAUAGAAAAAGAAAACGUUGGUUUGUUUUGUUUCCAGCUGAAAGUUCUGUUUUUGAUUGCAAAAGUUAUCCUUUUCUUUUAUUUGGUCACUUAAUUGAAUAUUAGUUUCAGCGCUUGAACUGAAGCAAUACAUUGGAGUGUUGAACUGUUGAUAGGAGGUGGAACCCUAGAUUGACAAUUUUGGAUUUGGGAAUGAAGAUGUCAGUUCAAAGGAUUCUGAUUGUGUUUUUGGUAGACUAUUAUAUUAUGCUCAAUUUUGAUUUUGUGUUACGAAAUG